UACGAAGGGGACUAGCGUUGUUAGGAUUUACUGGGCGUAAAGCGCGCGUAGGCGGAUCGCUAAGUCAGGGGUGAAAUCCCAGGGCUCAACCCUGGAACUGCCUUUGAUACUGACGAUCUGGAGAUCGGGAGAGGUUGGUGGAAUUCCGAGUGUAGAGGUGAAAUUCGUAGAUAUUCGGAGGAACACCAGAAGCGAAGGCGGCCAACUGGCCCGAUACUGACGCUGAGGCGCGAAAGCGUGGGGAGCAAACAGG
rnacentral:rRNA from 1 species